UACAGAGGGGGGCAAGCGUUAUUCGGAAUUAUUGGGCGUAAAGGGCGCGUAGGCGGCCUGACAAGUGGAAGGUGAAAUCCCUCGGCUUAACCGAGGAACUGCCCUCCAAACUGUUUGGCUUGAGACCGGGAGAGGUGAGUGGAAUUCCCAGUGUAGCGGUGAAAUGCGUAGAUAUUGGGAGGAACACCAGUGGCGAAGGCGGCUCACUGGACCGGUACUGACGCUGAGGCGCGAAAGCGUGGGGAGCAAACGGG
rnacentral:rRNA from 1 species